rnacentral:tRNA from 1 species
AGAGAUUUAGGAUCACAUAGACCAAGGACCUUCAAAGUCCUAAGAAAGUAAGCAUUACUUAAUCUCUG